CUACGGGUUGCUCCAGUGAGGAAUAUUGCACAAUGGGGGGAACCCUGAUGCAGCAACGCCGCGUGGAGGAUGGCGCAUUUCGGUGUGUAAACUCCUUUUAUAUGUCAAGAAAGUGACGGUAGCAUAUGAAUAAGCACCGGCUAACUCCGUGCCAGCAGCCGCGGUAAUACGGAGGGUGCAAGCGUUACUCGGAAUCACUGGGCGUAAAGGACGCGUAGGCGGGUUGGAAAGUCAGGUGUGAAAUCCUACAGCUUAAUUGUAGAACUGCACUUGAAACUUCUAAUCUAGAGUAUGGGAGGGGGAGAUGGAAUUAGUGGUGUAGGGGUAAAAUCCGUAGAUAUCACUAGGAAUACCUAAAGCGAAGGCGAUCUCCUGGAACAUUACUGACGCUAAGGCGUGAAAGCGUGGGGAGCAAACAGGAUUAGAUACCCUUGUAGUC
rnacentral:rRNA from 1 species